AACGUAGGAGCCAAGCGUUAUCCGAAUUCACUGGGCGUAAAGCGCGAGCAGGCGGACCGUUAAGUUGGAUGUGAAAUCUCUUGGCUCAACUGGGAGAGGACGUUCAAAACUGGCGGACUAGAGGGCAGGAGAGGGAGGUGGAAUUCCCGGUGUAGUGGUGAAAUGCGUAGAUAUCGGGAGGAACACCAGUGGCGAAAGCGGCCUCCUGGACUGUACCUGACGCUGAGAUGCGAAAGCUAGGGGAG
rnacentral:rRNA from 1 species